rnacentral:tRNA from 1 species
GUCUCGUUGGUGUAGUUGGUUAUCACGUUCGCCUCACACGCGAAAGGUCGCCGGUUCGAACCCGGCAUGAGACA